rnacentral:rRNA from 1 species
AUUGAACGCUGGCGGAAUGCUUUACACAUGCAAGUCGAACGGCAGCACGGACUUCGGUCUGGUGGCGAGUGGCGAACGGGUGAGUAAUGUAUCGGAACGUGCCCAGUCGUGGGGGAUAACGUAGUGAAAAUUACGCUAAUACCGCAUACGAUCUAUGGAUGAAAGCGGGGGAUCGCAAGACCUCGCGCGAUUGGAGCGGCCGAUAUCAGAUUAGGUAGUUGGUGGGGUAAAGGCCCACCAAGCCAACGAUCUGUAGCUGGUCUGAGAGGACGACCAGCCACACUGGAACUGAGACACGGUCCAGACUCCUACGGGAGGCAGCAGUGGGGAAUUUUGGACAAUGGGCGAAAGCCUGAUCCAGCCAUUCCGCGUGCAGGAUGAAGGCCCUCGGGUUGUAAACUGCUUUUGUACAGAACGAAAAGGUUUCUACUAAUACUAGGAGCUCAUGACGGUACUGUAAGAAUAAGCACCGGCUAACUACGUGCCAGCCGCCGCCGUAAGAC